UCACUGUUUGGUAGAUACUCUUCUCCUAAUUCAAACACUUAUAGUUGAUAUCUUACUGUCAUCUCACCCCACCCAACUAUAGUUCUUCUUCUACAUAUAAAUACCACCUGCUUCUUCUACUCUCCUCACUUAGAAUUAUCUUCAACACCAUCACUUUAAUUUCCCUGGCUUCAUGAUUCAGCAUAUAUAGCUCAUAGCUUAAUCACUGGAUCUCACUCCCGAAAUGUUCAAUCCCAUUUCUUGGCAGACGACUCUGACAACUGAUGAGUUUGUCAGGUUUGUGGCAAUGAUAUUGGAUCAAAGGAAGAUGCUUUGGGCGUUUCCUUGUUAUCCCUAAUGGACGAUAUUUCGGGAGUGAGAACCAGUGAUAAAGCCAGUCCAGCAUUCGAUGGAAGAUUACUUCAAAAACAUUAAGGAUUACCUGGCCUUAACUUACUUUUAGGAUCUGUUUGGUUUGCUGUAUAAUAUAAAGUCUGAUAGUACAAGACAUGAUGGUAUAAGGUCUGAUAGUAUUAAACCUGAUAAAUUUUAAUACUAUACAAAGUUUGGUGACA